rnacentral:rRNA from 1 species
UGGAAUUCUAUUUCCGUACUGUUCUCCGUCAUCAUUUCGCCGAAUCCAUUUGUAUCUGGUGUUCACGAUAAAAUAAGCGCUUUUGAAAUCAACCUUUGAAAAAAAUCACUGCCCGUUAAUUGCAUCUUACGCUAUAGGGCCUGUAGCGUAAUACAUGCAAACAGAGUCCCGGCCAGAAAUGGAAGGGAUGCUUUUAUUAGAUCAAAACCUAUCGGCCGGCUCGUCCGGUCCGUUUGCUUUGGUGACUGAAUAACUUUGAGCUGAUCGCACGGUCCUCGUACCGGCGACGCAUCUUUCAAAUGUCUGCCUUAUCAACUGUUGAUGGUAGGUUCUGCGCCUACCAUGGUUGUAACGGGGAAUCAGGGUUCGAUUCCGAAGAGGGAGCCUGAGAAACGGCUACCACAUCCAAGAAAGGCAUCAGGCGCGCAAGUUACCCACUCCCGGCACGGGGAGGUAGUGACGAAAAAUAACGAUACGGGACUCAUCCGAGGCCCCGUAAUCUGAAUGAGUACACUUUAAACCCUUUAACGAGUAUCCAUUGGAGGGCAAGUCUGGUGCCAGCAGCCGCGGUAAUUCCAGCUCCAAUAGCGUCUGUUAAAGUUGUUGCGGUUAAAAAGCUCGUAGUUGGAUUUGUGUCCCACGCUGUCGGUUCACCUUUCGUCGGUGUUUAACUGGCAUGCCCGUGCGGACGUCCUGCCGGUGGAUGCGGUCGGCCGUGGGCCUCUGGUCUGCGCGUCGGCGGUCCGAUGCAAUCCUACCGCGGUGCUCUUCACCGAGUGUCGAGGUGGGCCGGCACGUUNGGUGCGGACGUCCUGCCGGUGGAUGUGGUCGGCCGUGGGCCUCUGGUCUGUGCGUCGGCGGCCCGAUGCAAUCCUACCGCGGUGCUCUUCACCAAGUGUCGAUGUGGACCGGCACGUUUACGUUGAACAAAUUAGAGUGCUCAAAGCAGGCAGUGGUUCGCCUGAAUAUUGUGUGCAUGGAAUAAUGGAAUAGGACCUCGGUUCUAUUUUGUUGGUUUUCGGAACUUGAGGUAAUGAUUAAUAGGGACAGACGGGGGCAUUCGUAUUGCGACGUUAGAGGUGAAAUUCUUGGAUCGUCGCAAGACGAACCUAAGCGAAAGCAUUUGCCAUGAGUGUUUUCACUAAUCAAGAACGAAAGUUAGAGGUUCGAAGGCGAUCAGAUACCGCCCUAGUUCUAACCAUAAACGAUGCCAGCUAGCGAUCCGCCGAAGUUCCUCCGAUGACUCGGCGGGCAGCUUCCGGGAAACCAAAGCUUUUGGGUUCCGGGGGAAGUAUGGUUGCAAAGCUGAAACUUAAAGGAAUUGACGGAAGGGCACCACCAGGAGUGGAGCCUGCGGCUUAAUUUGACUCAACACGGGAAACCUCACCAGGCCCGGACACCGGNGUAUAGUAUCACGUACCAUAACUUCGGUAUUUCAUACGAUAAUUUUGAAAUUCGUACCAUAAUGGCCAUUCACGUUUACUUCACACUUUUCUGAAGCCCUGCUAAAGUUCUACUUUUGGUUACCGAUUACAUAUCCUCCGCNGGCGACAAAUGAUCUUCUUAGAGGGACAGGCGGCUUCUAGCCGCACGAGAUUGAGCAAUAACAGGCCUGUGAUGCCCUUAGAUGUUCUGGGCCGCACGCGCGCUACACUGAAGGAAUCAGCGUGUCCUCCUAGCCCGAAAGGGCCGGGUAACCCGUUGAACCUCCUUCGUGCUAGGGAUUGGGUCUUGCAAUUGUUCCCCAUGAACGAGGAAUUCCCAGUAAGCGCGAGUCAUAAGCUCGCGUUGAUUACGUCCCUGCCCNAGUCGCUUCCGGUAUCCCUUCGUGGUACCUUGCGACAAAUGAUCUUCUUAGAAGGACAGGUGGCUUCUAGCCGUG